AAUUAUCCCAGAGAAUUGUUUAUAUUAAAAACAGGCUGAGAGUAGUUUGAACUGUGACCACCAAAAAAAUUGAAGGAUAAACACUCACCUUGUCAAGAUAUCUUUUGAAAACCCUUG
ensembl:misc_RNA